GGGGUAGAGGCCCGCCGCGGUAACGACGGGUAACGGGGAAUCAGGGUUCGAUUCCGGAGAGGGAGCCCGAGAAACGGCUACCACUUCCAAGGAAGGCAGCAGGCGCGCAACUUACCCUAAUCUCGAUUCGAGGAGGUAGUGACAAGAAAUACCGAUGCGGGACCCUACGGGUGCCGCGUUCGGAAUGAGUACGAUUCGAACCACCUAACGAGGAACGAUCGGAGGGCAAGUCUGGUGCCAGCAGCCGCGGUAAUUCCAGCUCCAAUAGCGUACGUUAAAGUUGCUGCAGUUAAAAAGCUCGUAGUUGAACGUCCGGGUUCCGCGGGACGGGGCCGCCCCGCGAGGGACGGCGCCGCCCUGGGGCCCGUGGGAUCCGAUCUCGCCGCCCGUCGCGAGGCGGACGGAGGGACGGAUGAGGUUACCUGGAAAAAAUCGGGGCGAUCUAGGCGGGCGAACCUCGCCAACGAACGAUAGGACAUGGG
rnacentral:rRNA from 1 species